CCCUUAGAUGUUCUGGGCCGCACGCGUGCUACACUGAGUGGAUCAGCGGGUCAGGUUACGCGAGAGCGUUUCCUAAUCUUCAAAUCCGCUCGUGAUGGGGAUUGACGGUUGCAAUUUUCCGUCAUGAACGAGGAAUACCUUGUAAGCGCGGGUCAUCAUCCCGCGCUGAAUACGUCCCUGCCCUUUGUACACACCGCCCGUCGCUCCUACCGAUUGAGUGGUCCGGUGAGGCUUUGGGAUCUAAGCGAAAAGAGCGUUUCGCUCCUUUUACUGGGAGAACUCAGUCGAACCUUAUCAUUUAGAGGAAGGAGAAGUCGUAACA
rnacentral:rRNA from 1 species